rnacentral:rRNA from 1 species
UACGGAGGGUGCAAGCGUUAUCCGGAUUUACUGGGUUUAAAGGGUGCGUAGGCGGGUUGAUAAGUCAGUGGUGAAAUACUAUCGCUUAACGAUGGACUGCCGUUGAUACUAUCAAUCUUGAAUACAGUGGAGGCGGGCGGAAUGUGUCAUGUAGCGGUGAAAUGCUUAGAUAUGACACAGAACACCUAUUGCGAAGGCAGCUCGCUACACUGUUAUUGACGCUGAUGCACGAAAGCGUGGGGAUCAAACAGG